GCAGCAAUGCAUCACCGGCGGACGGGUGCGUAACACGUGGGAAUGUACUUACUGGCUCGGAACAACUCAGGGAAACUUGAGCUAAUACCGAAUGAGCCCGAAAGGGGAAAGAUUUAUCGCCAGUAAAUCAGCCCGCGUUCGAUUAGCUAGUUGGUGAGGUAAUGGCUCACCAAGGCUCCGAUCGAUAGCUGUUCUGAGAGGAAGAUCAGCCACACUGGGACUGAGACACGGCCCAGACUCCUACGGGAGGCAGCAGUUGGGAAUCUUGGACAAUGGGGGAAACCCUGAUCCAGCCAUGCCGCGUGAGUGAUGAAGGCCUUCGGG
rnacentral:rRNA from 1 species